rnacentral:tRNA from 1 species
GGUUGUGGCUCAGUGGUAGAGCGCUUUCCUAGCAAGUGCAAGGCACUGGGUUUGAUUCUCAGCACCA